rnacentral:tRNA from 1 species
AGUCGCGUGACCGAGAGGAUAGGUGGGGGUCCGCAAUACCCUAAACGGCAGUUCGAAUCUGCCCGCGACAUCAA